AGAGUUUAAUUCUGCUCAGAACGAACGCUGGCAGCGUGGAUUAGGCAUGCAAGUCGAACGUGAAGCCGUUGAUCAAUCUUUCGAGAAAGUGAUUCGGUGGGAAGUGGCGGAAGGGUGAGUAACGCGUGGGCAAUCUACCCUUGAGUUGGGGACAACAUCUCGAAAGGGGUGCUAAUACCGAAUGUGGUUCCUUAACACAUGUAGGGACACUAAAGGUGGGGAUUCUUCGGAACCUGCCGCUCAGGGAGGAGCCCGCGUGCCAUCAGCUUGUUGGUAAGGUAACGGCUUACCGAGGCUUACGGCUAGCCGGCCUGAGAGGGUGAUCGGCCACACUGGGACUGAGACACUGCCCAGACUCCUAUGGGAGGCUGCAGUCGAGGAUCAUUCGCAAUGCGCGAAAGCGUGACGAUGCGACGCCGCGUGGAGGAUGACGGCCUUAGGGUUGUAAACUCCUGUCAUGAGGGAAAAGUAACCUGACAAUUAAUACUUGUCGGGAUCGAUGGUACCUCAAGAGGAAGCCACGGCUAACUCUGUGCCAGCAGCCGCGGUAAUACAGAGGUGGCGAGCGUUGUUCGGAUUUACUGGGCGUAAAGGGUGCGUAGGUGGUCUUGUAUGUCGGGUGUGAAAGCCCACGGCUCAACCGUGGAAUUGCAUUCAAAACUGCAAGACUAGAGUGUAGGAGGGGAGAGCGGAAUUCUUGGUGUAGCGGUGAAAUGCGUUGAUAUCAAGAAGAACACCGGUGGCGAAGGCGGCUCUCUGGAAUACUACUGACACUGAUGCACGAAAGCUGGGGGAGCGAACAGGAUUAGAUACCCUGGUAGUCCCAGCCGUAAACGGUGCACACUUGGUGUGGGGGGAUUUGACCCCCUCCGUGCCGGAGCUAACGCGUUAAGUGUGCCGCCUGGGGAGUACGGUCGCAAGGCUAAAACUCAAAGAAAUUGACGGGGGCCCGCACAAGCGGAGGAGCAUGUGGCUUAAUUCGAUGCAACGCGAAGAACCUUACCAGGGCUUGACAUAUACCUGCACGCCCCGUGAAAGCGGGGAAGCCUUCGAGGGUGGUAUACAGGUGCUGCAUGGCUGUCGUCAGUUCGUGCCGUGAGGUGUUGGGUUAAGUCCCGCAACGAACGCAACCCCUGUGGUUAGUUGCCACCGUCGGUGAUGAGCCGACGAGCACUCUAGCCAUACUGCCCGUGCAAGCGGGAGGAAGGUGGGGACGACGUCAAGUCAGUAUGGCCCUUACGCCCUGGGCUGCACACGUGCUACAAUGGCCGGUACAGAGGGACGCAAUAUCGCGAGAUGGAGCAAAUCCCCAAAGCUGGCCCCAGUUCGGAUUGGAGUCUGAAACUCGACUCCAUGAAGUUGGAUUCGCUAGUAACGGCGUAUCAGCUACGACGCCGUGAAUACGUUCCCGGGCCUUGUACACACCGCCCGUCACAUCAUGAAAGCCGUCUGCACCCGAAGUCACUGAGCCAACUUUUACGAGAGGCAGGUGCCGAAGGUGUGGGUGGUGAUUGGGAUGAAGUCGUAACAAGGUA
rnacentral:rRNA from 1 species